UAGCCAUAAGAAGUCACAAAGUACCUAUCACUUUCCCCUAUAAUAAAGCUGAAAGAAAUAGCUUGUGAAGAAUUUGAGAAAUGACAUAUAGAUGGUCUGGAUAAGACCAAUUACAUUUUUAGAAAUUCUUAAUUCUUUAGUUCUAAAAAUAGGCAACUCCCCCCAAGUAGAAAAACCCAAUGGUUAGAUUUAUUUCAACAACAAAAAGAGGAAUUAACACUGUAAACAAGUGGCCCUGGCCAGGUGGCUCAGUUGGUUGGGCGUUGUCAGGGUACACACCUGUUAUGGCUUCGAUCCCCAGUGAGGGCAAGUAGGAGUCAACUGAUCAAUGUUUUUCUCUCACACUGAUGUCUCUCUCUUUCUCUCUGCUCUCUCCCUUCCCCUUCCUCUCUAAAAAAAUCAAUAAAACGUAUCCUGGGGUACGGAUUUAAAUUAAUUAAAAUUGUAAGCAAGUGGGUAGCCAUCAUAACAUAGUAACUAUCAAACCAGGAAGUCCAUGACCAAUAGACUACUUUAGUGUAAACGAAUGCUCACUACAUUCUUCACCCCAGGAAGGCAGCAGUACUUAAGACAGAAAUUUGGGGAAAACUAGUCAAAAUAUCUAAGAUCACAAAUAUCAUCUUGGUAUUUGGAUUCAAAACCCACUUUGACGGUGGCAAGACAAGUGGCUCUGGUAUGAUUUAUGAUUCCUUAAAGAACCCAAACAUAGGUUUGCAAGAAAAGCCCAUAAAAGACUUCAAGAACAGAAUGGAAGUCAGGGGAACUGCAAAGGCCAAUGUUGGUGCUGGCAAAAAUGAGCAAAGAUUCUUCAUUGGCUUUAUCUGUACAGAUUUUUCAUGAGAGGAUUAAUAAAUUAAGAACGUAAAAGAAACCCCACAAAAUUAUAAGCAAACUAAAGAGAACCCCAUUACCUUGUGCUGUUCAGGGACAGGUGUGGUGCAUUUAUAGGAGUAAUCCAAGCCCAUUUCCCCAAAUGCCACGGCCUUGGGAUGCCUUAAGGCUUGCAAAAGAUUUCUUUCUUGACUCUCAUUGUAGUAACGAGCAAAAUGAGGGUGACAGCCAAAGGCCCCCCAAACCAGAUCCUCUUUCAACAAAUCCUCCCAUAGGGUAUCUGUCAGUGUCCUGGGAUCACAGAAGUCAGAGAUGCAGCCCUGAAAUUCCUUAGGGAAGGAGGUGCUAUAAAUUCUCCUGAACUUGCUGAAGGUCCCUUGGAAAGCCAACUUGGAAUAGAGCAUGUCCAAGUGACAAUGGGUAUCAAUGAAACCCGCCUCUAGGUUUGGCUCUACAUGGCUCCUUGGCAGAGAGCUAGAUGCAUGUCCUUCAUAAGAACGGGGUGGCGGCUCCUCCUGGAAUGUUCUUUUCUCCUUCACCUUUUCUUGUAAGCUUCUGGAGUAAUGAUAUGAGCGAGAAUUCUGGGAUCUGCCUUCCUCUGUCGCCUCCCAAUCUCUAGAGGUGUUUUGGGAGCUCACUGUAGA